rnacentral:rRNA from 1 species
UUGGGAAUAUUGCACAAUGGACGACAGUCUGAUGCAGCGACGCCGCGUGAAGGAAGAAGGCCUUCGGGUUGUAAACUUCUUUUGUUGGGGACGAUUGUGACGGUACCCAACGAAUAAGGACCUGCUAACUACGUGCCAGCAGCAGCGGUAAUACGUAGGGUCCGAGCGUUGUCCGGAUUUAUUGGGCGUAAAGAGUAUGUAGGUGGCUUGAUGUGUCGGAUUUGAAAUCUCCAGGCUUAACUUGGAAUUUGGAUCCGAAACUAUCUAGCUUUGAGGGUAGCAGGGGCAAGCGGAAUUAGCGGUGUAGCAGUGAAAUGCGUUGAUCUCGCUAAGAACACCAAUGGCGAAGGCAGCUUGCUAGGUUACCUCUGACACUGAGAUACGAAAGCGUGGGGAGCGAACGGG